AGCGAACGCUGGCGGCAGGCUUAACACAUGCAAGUCGAGCGGGCAUCCUUGUGGUGUCAGCGGCAGACGGGUGAGUAACGCGUGGGAACGUGCCCUUCGGUUCGGAAUAACUCAGGGAAACUUGAGCUAAUACCGGAUACGUGCGAGAGCAGAAAGGUUUAUCUGCCGAAGGAUCGGCCCGCGUCUGAUUAGCUAGUUGGUGAGGUUAUGGCUCACCAAGGCGACGAUCAGUAGCUGGUCUGAGAGGAUGAUCAGCCACACUGGGACUGAGACGCGGCCCAGACUCCUACGGGAGACAGCAGUGGGGAAUAUUGGACAAUGGGGGCAACCCUGAUCCAGCCAUGCCGCGUGAGUGAUGACGGCCUUAGGGUUGUAAAGCUCUUUUCUCCGGGACGAUAAUGACGGUACCGGAGGAAUAAGCCCCGGCUAACUUCGUG
rnacentral:rRNA from 1 species